rnacentral:rRNA from 1 species
GACGUAGGGGGCGAGCGUUGUCCGGAUUCAUUGGGCGUAAAGAGCGCGUAGGCGGCUCGGUCAGUCGGAUGUGAAAACCCGUGGCUCAACCACGGGCCUGCAUCCGAUACUGCCGGGCUAGAGGUAGGUAGGGGAGAUCGGAAUUCCUGGUGUAGCGGUGAAAUGCGUAGAGAUCGGCAGGAACACCCAGGGGGAAACCAGUCGACUGGGCAUCUACUGACGCUGAGGUGCGAGAGCGUGGGGAGCGAACCGGAUUGAGAA